rnacentral:rRNA from 1 species
GACGCACGCUGGCGGCGUGCUUAACACAUGCAAGUCGAACGAAGUGGCGAACGGGUGAGUAACGCGUAAUCAACCUGCCCUUCAGAGGGGGACAACAGUUGGAAACGACUGUUAAUACCGCAUACUGAAGGAGGGGAACGCGUCUGAUUAGCUAGUGGGAGGGGUAACGGCCCACCAAGGCGAUGAGCAGUAGCCGGUCACAGAGGAUGAUCAGCCACACGGGGGCUGAGACACGGACCAGAAUCCUACGGGAGGCAGCAGUGGGGAAUAUUGCACAAUGGGCGCAAGCCUGUUGCAGCCAUGCCGCGUGUAUGAGGAAGGCCCUAGGGUUGUAAAGUACUUUCAGUCGGGAAGCGUUACCGACAGAAGAAGCACCGGCUAACUCCGUGCCAGCAGCCGCGGUAAUAC